rnacentral:rRNA from 1 species
AGUGAACGCUGGCGGUAGGCCUAACACAUGCAAGUCGAACGGCAGCACAGUAAGAGCUUGCUCUUACGGGUGGCGAGUGGCGGACGGGUGAGGAAUACAUCGGAAUCUACUUUUUCGUGGGGGAUAACGUAGGGAAACUUACGCUAAUACCGCAUACGACCUACGGGUGAAAGCAGGGGAUCUUCGGACCUUGCGCGAUUGAAUGAGCCGAUGUCGGAUUAGCUAGUUGGCGGGGUAAAGGCCCACCAAGGCGACGAUCCGUAGCUGGUCUGAAAGGAUGAUCAGCCACACUGGAACUGAGACACGGUCCAGACUCCUACGGGAGGCAGCAGUGGGGAAUAUUGGACGAUGGGCGAAAGCCUGAUCCAGCAAUACCGCGUGGGUGAAGAAGGCCUUCGGGUUGUAAAGCCCUGUUGUUGGGAAAGAAAAGCAGCAGGUUAAUACCCCGCUGUUCUGACGGUAGCCAAAGAAUAAGCACCGGCUAACUUCGUG